AAAGAUUCCCUCUCCUCUCACUCGCUCGUUUUAAGACCUAUCUCGUGGUUGGAAGCUUCUGGAGAUGAAAUGCUGGAUGAGUGUGAGGCGUUGGAUUGAUUUCACUCAAACCGAGCCCCACAUUCAUCAAGGAUUGGUCUCCAAAAGACGCUUUAUCUAAUUUUGAAAAGGGAUACUGGAAAAAAAAUUGAGAGAAAAAAGAACUUCUGGUUUUCUGAUUUGAAUUUCUUCUUGGAAGAGUUCUAAGAAAGAUUAAGAGAAAACAUAUAUACGAUUUUUCUUUCUAAAUUCGUCUUUUUGAGUUCUGAAGAGAUAAAAGAAUGAAUUGAAGUUCAAGCUUGAAUUUUUGAUUGUUGUCCUGCUGAGAGACUGCUGAACCUCGCUAGGAUUUGGAGUCGAAAAGUGUAUUGUCGAG
rnacentral:lncRNA from 1 species